UUAGUCAUGGCCGAGUGGUUAAGGCAAUGGAUUUGAAAUCCAUUGGGUUCUUCCUGCGCAGGUUUGAAUCCUGCUGACUACG